CCUACGGGUGGCUGCAGUGGGGAAUAUUGGACAAUGGGGGGAACCCUGAUCCAGCCAUGCCGCGUGUGUGAAGAAGGCCCUCGGGUUGUAAAGCACUUUCAGUGAGGAAGAACGCCUGGUGGUUAAUACCCAUCAGGAAAGACAUCACUCACAGAAGAAGCACCGGCUAACUCCGUGCCAGCAGCCGCGGUAAUACGGAGGGUGCGAGCGUUAAUCGGAAUUACUGGGCGUAAAGCGCGCGUAGGUGGCUUGAUAAGCCGGUUGUGAAAGCCCCGGGCUCAACCUGGGAACGGCAUCCGGAACUGUCAAGCUAGAGUGCAGGAGAGGAAGGUAGAAUUCCCGGUGUAGCGGUGAAAUGCGUAGAGAUCGGGAGGAAUACCAGUGGCGAAGGCGGCCUUCUGGACUGACAUUGACACUGAGGUGCGAAAGCGUGGGUAGCAAACAGGAUUAGAUACCCGUGUAGUC
rnacentral:rRNA from 1 species